AUGAACGCUGGCGGCGUGCUUAACACAUGCAAGUCGAGCGGAGAAUAUUAAGUUGAGAGCUUCGGCAGGAUUCUUAAUAAUCUUAGCGGCGGACGGGUGAGUAACGUGUGGGCAACCUGCCCUGUACUGUGGAAUAAUCACUGGAAACGGUGACUAAUACCGCAUGUCAUCACGAGGAGGCAUCUCUUUGUGAGAAAAGGAUUUAUUCGGUACAGGAUGGGCCCGCAUCUGAUUAGCUAGUUGGUGAGAUAACAGCCCACCAAGGCAACGAUCAGUAGCCGACCUGAGAGGGUGAUCGGCCACAUUGGGACUGAGACACGGCCCAAACUCCUACGGGAGGCAGCAGUGGGGAAUAUUGCACAAUGGGCGAAAGCCUGAACCAGCCAAUGCCGCGUGCAGGAUGACGGCCCUACGGGUUGUAAACUGCUUUUCCCCGGGAAGAAUAAGCCCCUCGUGAGGGGUGAUGCCGGUACCGGGGGAAUAAGGAUCGGCUAACUCCGUGCCAGCCGCCGC
rnacentral:rRNA from 1 species